rnacentral:rRNA from 1 species
UGCCAGACUCCUACGGGAGGCAGCAGUGAGGAAUAUUGGUCAAUGGGCUUACGCCUGAACCAGCCAAGUCGCGUGAGGGAAGACUGCCCUAUGGGUUGUAAACCUCUUUUGUCAGGGAGCAAUUGGCGCUACGUGUAGCGUUAUCGAGAGUACCUGAAGAAAAAGCAUCGGCUAACUCCGUGCCAGCAGCCGCGGUAAUACGGAGGAUGCGAGCGUUAUCCGGAUUUAUUGGGUUUAAAGGGUGCGUAGGCGGACGCUUAAGUCAGCGGUAAAAUUGCGGGGCUCAACCUCGUCGAGCCGUUGAAACUGGGUGCCUUGAGUGGGCGAGAAGUACGCGGAAUGCGUGGUGUAGCGGUGAAAUGCAUAGAUAUCACGCAGAACUCCGAUUGCGAAGGCAGCAUACCGGCGCCCGACUGACGCUGAAGCACGAAAGCGUGGGUAUCGAACAGGAUUAGAUACCCGUGUAA